ACUGAUAGUAUAAAAAUUGAUUUCUGUAUCAAUCAGAGUAACCAUCUAGCAAUGGUACCCGACGUCCAGAUAGGCCGAAUGUAAGCAAAGCAACACUCAAGAACCUAUUUGGAUAUAGUUAUCAUAUAAUUCAUCACUUUGACCCUUGAUGCUAGGAUAACUUAGAGUUUAAACUAUCAACUCUUAAUAGUAUAUCUAUUAUGUAUCUCAAUGUAAUAAAUCCUGUGACUCCUCGUAAGGUUUGCCCUAGCC
rnacentral:lncRNA from 1 species